rnacentral:rRNA from 1 species
UAAUGUCUGGGAAACUGCCCGAUGGAGGGGGAUAACUACUGGAAACGGUAGCUAAUACCGCAUAACGUCGCAAGACCAAAGAGGGGGACCUUAGGGCCUCUUGCCAUCGGAUGUGCCCAGAUGGGAUUAGCUAGUAGGUGGGGUAAUGGCUCACCUAGGCGACGAUCCCUAGCUGGUCUGAGAGGAUGACCAGCCACACUGGAACUGAGACACGGUCCAGACUCCUACGGGAGGCAGCA